ACUUCCUUCACUGGUUAGGAUGGUUAAGUUAAUAUAUCAGCACCAGAUUUACUUGUUUAUAAAACCUAUAAAACUGUCAUUUCACAGGCCUCUGCUGUGACCAGCAUCUGGCUGACAUAUUAACCCUCAUCCCAGCUAAAGAAAGAUCCUGCACUUGGGAGCUUUCAGAGAAAGAAAAAGAAGAAAACUGGAAGGAAGGAAGGAAGGAAGAAAAGAAGGAAAGAGGAAAGAAGUCUUUGGGGUGCAGUUUUGUCUGCAGCUAAGAUCUAGGAUCA
rnacentral:lncRNA from 1 species